GCACCGGCGGGGAGUCAGGCCGGGCCUCAGGGGCGGCGGUGGGGCAGGUGGGCCUGCGAGGGCUUUCUCCAGGGCGGCAGCAAGGCCUUCAGCGAGCUUCGCCCUCGGCACAGAUACCCCCUGAGUGCUUUGCUCUGCUCCGGGACUCUUCUGGGAGGGAGAAGGUGGUCUUCUUGCGCGAGGUCAGAGGAGAAUUGUCGCGCUGGUUCAGAAGCGAUUGCUAAAGCCCACAGAAGUUCCUGCCUGGUUGGUUAAGAACAGUUCUUAGGUGGUGGUUAGUUUUUUUGUGUUUCUUUGAGGACCGUGGAUCAAGAUCAAGGAAAUCUCUUUAGAACCUUAUUAUGGAAGUCUGAAUUUUCCAAAUAGUGAGGGUUUUAUGUCUAAAAGCAACACCUGAAAAAAUUGUUUUCUUCACCCAGUGCUGUCUUACAAUUUCCUCUUGGGGGGAGGGGUAGUUACUGCUGUUACUAAAAUAAAAUUAAUUACUGCUAAAGUUCCCCAAGAGGAAGACCACUACUUUUGAUGACUUUGCAAGUUUACUAGCUACUGGAAGCCUAACUUUAUAAACGAACUACUUACAUUUUUGAUUUUCAGUUGUAUUAACCUGCCCAAUGUUUACGUAGAAGCAGUUUGAUUUUGAAUUUGAUUUUGGGUAAGGUUGUUGCACUUCAUUAAAAAUACAUAUCCGAAGUGAGCAAGUGUGGAUCUGUGGACAGCAGUGAUUUUUCCUGUCAAUUCCUGUUGCUUCAGAUAAAAUGUACCAGACAGAGGCCGGGCGCGGUGGCUCACGCCUGUAAUCCCAGCACUUUAGGAGGCCGAGGCGGGUGGAUCACCUGAGGCUGGUCUUGAACCCCUGACUUCAAGUGAGCCUCCCACCGCGGCCAGCCAGAAAUGGGUUUUGGAAAAAGCACUAAACAAAAUCAGGAACUUGGAUUCAUAUGACAGCUCUGCUACUAACUGUAACGGGGGACAGACCAGUUAACCUACUUUUCUGUCUUCUAUCAGCUGAGAAUUAGAUGAUUCCCAAAGGCCCAUUGAACUCUGAAUGACAUUAAAUACUUGUUAAGUAGGUACACAGUUUUGGUAACUGAUUCUAGGUGAUGAAUGAAUGAAAGUGCUGAAUGAAUGAAACAGGUAAAAUAGGAGGAGGAAGCUUUAUUGGUAAGGCAGGGGUAUACUUAAUAGCUCUCUAAUUUGUUGGCGUUGCAGUGGUUACUUUUUGGUUUUUUAAGGCGGAAAAGCAUUCUAAGAAUAAUGAGGCAAACUGCAUAUUGCACAAGAGACUGUUGUCUCCAGUCAACAAAUAUCUUUUGAGUGUCCACAGUCUGCCAGGCGCUGUGCUAGGCCCUCACGAUUGGGUAGUGAACCAGACAAUGUCCCUGCACCCAUGGAGUUUAUUGUCUCCUGGGGUAGACAGAUAAUAAAUAAGCAAACAAAUCUCUUCCUCUCUUCUCCCUCCCGCUCCAUGUAAGUGUGUGUGUGUAGGUGUAUACUUAUAGAUUGAGUAAAGUGUUAUGAAAGAUUAAGAGGAGAAACACAUUUUGGUUAGAUGUUAGAGGACUCAGCAGGUGACCUUGAAACUUAGAGCUGAAAGAUCAGUAGGAGGUAACUAGAGAGGCCAGGGAAUAGCAUGUUCAAAGGUCAGGAGGCAAAAAAGGGCAUGGUGCCCUUCAAGAGAGGAAAGAAGGCUACUGUGACUGGGGCAUGGAUGUAGGCAAGUGUCAGGUGAUUGAGAACUCUACAGGCCGUGGUUAGGUUUUAUUCCUAAUGCCGAGAUGCCAAACAUGGUGGUUCAUAUCUGUAAUCCCAGUACUUUAGGAGGCUGAGGCAGAAGUAUAGCUUGAACUCAGGAGUUCAAGACCAGCCUGAGCAACAUGAGACCUGUACAAAACAUAAAAAUUUGCUGGGUGUGAUGGUGCACACCUGUGGUCCCAGCUGCUCAGGAGGCUGAGGCAGAAGGAUCGCUUGAGCCUAGGAGGUGGAGGCUACAGUGAGCCAUAUUUGAGUCACUACACUCCAGCCUGAAUGACAAAGUGAGACCCUGUGUCAAACAAAAUACAGAGAGAAUGUUAAUUUAAAAUUUUGAAAGAGGAGUGAUCUGAACUUAUAUCUUAAAAAGAUCAUUUUAGGGCACGGUGGCUCAUGCCUGUAAUCAAGUGCUUUGGGAGGCUGAGACGGGAGGAUCACCUCAGGCCAGUUCGAGAUGAACCUGUACAACAUAGAGAGACUUCAUCUCUAUAAAAAGAAAAAAUAAAUACCUGGGCAUUGUGAGCUAUUCAGGAUGCUGAAGCAGAAACAUCACUUGAGCCCAGGAGUUUAAGGCUGCAGUAAGCUGUGAUCCCACCACUGCAACACAGUGAAAUCCUGUCUCAAA